UGGGGAAUAUUGCGCAAUGGGCGGAAGCCUGACGCAGCGACGCCGCGUGGGGGAUGACGGCCUUCGGGUUGUAAACCUCUUUCAGCAGGGACGAAGCUAACGUGACGGUACCUGCAGAAGAAGCGCCGGCUAACUACGUGCCAGCAGCCGCGGUAAUACGUAGGGCGCAAGCGUUGUCCGGAAUUAUUGGGCGUAAAGAGCUCGUAGGCGGUUUGUCGCGUCGACUGUGAAAACCUGGGGCUCAACUCUGGGCCUGCAGUCGAUACGGGCAGACUUGAGUUCGGUAGGGGAGACUGGAAUUCCUGGUGUAGCGGUGAAAUGCGCAGAUAUCAGGAGGAACACCGGUGGCGAAGGCGGGUCUCUGGGCCGAUACUGACGCUGAGGAGCGAAAGCGUGGGGAGCGAA
rnacentral:rRNA from 1 species